rnacentral:snRNA from 1 species
GUGCUCGCUUUGGCAACACAUAUACUAAAAUUCGAACGAUACAGAAAAGAUUAGCAUGGCCCCUGCACAAGGAUGACACACAAAUUUGUGAAGCGUUCCAUUUAAAA